UACGUAGGGACCAAGCGUUGUUCGGAUUUACUGGGCGUAAAGGGCGCGUAGGCGGCCACCGCAAGUCGGUUGUGAAAUCUCUGGGCUUAACCCAGAAAGGUCAACCGAUACUGCGGGGCUAGAGUGCAGAAGGGGCAACUGGAAUUCUCGGUGUAGCGGUGAAAUUCGUAGAUAUCGGGAGGAACACCAGUGGCGAAGGCGCUGACCUGGACGAUGAUUGACGCUGAGGCGCGAAAGCGUGGGGAGCAAACAGG
rnacentral:rRNA from 1 species